GUGCGUCCUGCACCACCCAAACGAUCUGGGGCGUAUCGGAGCCAUUUCUGCACUGCUUGUGCAAAGACAAACUCAGACAUAGAGUUUGCCCCUAACUGCUGCGACAGGCUCCAAUCAAGGCAAAGCGUCUCACCUAUAGACACAUUUUAAGAGAUGGAAUUAGCGUGUCUCAUGUCUUAAAUGUGUAUGCAAGUGCUUAAAUAGGAAAAUAGGCGCACACCUUUGACGCUGCAUUUUCUCCGUCUUCCUCGUCCACACGUAAAUGCUAAACGCAGUUUACGUGUGGACAAAAGGUGCAAACGCAAGUUAGGUAAGCGUGCAACGUAAAGUUUGAAUUGAGUGCGAAUCGAAGCGGGUGCUCACCAAUCAUUAAAAGUAACAAAGUCAUUGAACACAUUUAUACAGUUACCUUUACGUUUAUCAAUCAUAUAUCACAGAUUUACAAUUGUUUGUAGUACUAUGCUAAAAAGCAACUACAGAGCGAAAGUCUGGGUCAAGCGUCGAGGCGACGGCAAGAACAAAGGAACCCUCGAAGCGUUAAAGCUAGCUUUGUAAGGGAAUAUAACGGAAAAGUAUGAAACGAAAAUGUUUUCUUUGUUAAUAGACUUUGUUUGCAGUGCAAUUUAUUUGUUGCCGGAUUGUAAGAUGAAAGUAGACACAAUUUCGGGCUCCCACAUGUUAUCCGAAACUUUACAUUAACAAGUUUUUUUUUAGUUUUUUUUUACUGUUAUUCAAAUGCAACCGUGGAAAUAACGAAUAGAACAAAAGUCAUUCAUUCUUACCUUAUACUAAUCGUGGUGCAGGCCAGUGCAGUGCAUGAACUGAUGCCUUCUCCGGUCAAUUCCGCUGAGAGUAAAUCUAAUGUCCCGCUCUACUGUACAAGACAAUGGUUACCUGGAGGGAUGUACCAAUGUGAUAGGGGUGCUGUGGAAUAGUCCAAGUGGUAGCAGCUUUAAUUUCCCGCUCAACCAUAAAUCGAUGGUUUUUCUUUUUUUUUUUCUUUUUUUUUUUCUAAAUGACAUCAGAAACAGCAGUAUGCGACAUUACGUGAUGGCAGAGCUUCAGUUCAUCCUUUGUCUUUUUUUUUUUUUUUUUUUUUUUUUUUUAAUAAAUAGGACAGGGGGAAUGAAUGAGAGAAAGAGGGGGAGAGAAAGAAAGAAAACCAAAGGGGAGAAGAGACGGUGAGAAGGGGGGGGAAGAGAG
ensembl:lncRNA